ensembl:lncRNA LINC01206 long intergenic non-protein coding RNA 1206
AGACCUUGACAGUUGUAACCGAUAGACUGGGCUGGGGCAACGCUGAUGAAAGGCAAAUUCCUGAGAGAAAAAUCACCCAGAUUUUUCAGUGCCUUCUCUAGCUUUCUAGAAGUUGUUAUGAGUGGACCUGACUACCUAGAGAGAGUAAUACAGAAGCUCCGUGCCGAUCACAGCUACCUCAUUACCAUGUUCCUCCAAGAUGGCCGCCCCUGAGGAGAAUCAUCAACUGGGCUUUACGGAAGAGAGAAAUCCAAACGACCAUCAGCAACAAAUGAAAGACUGAAGUUGAAAGGAAAUCCAUAAUUUUUGAAUGCUGGCCGAGGUCUGUGACCUCUGACUGAAUGGUUUCCAAGCUCCGAAUUCCUAGGUGAUGUUUUCAUUUGUUCACACUUGCUGAAGAAGGGAAAGGCUCUCUGAUUUACGUGUAAGCAAAACAAUCUAAACAGUAGGAUAAAAUCAUGUUGGAAUGGAGUUCUGUGUGGAUGCUCCUUUGAACCAAAUCAGUUCCACAACUGACCCUGUCAGGGACAUAUAAAUUUAGCAUUUUGGUGUGGAUACAGAAGACGAGAUUAACACAGAUCAAGUAACAUGGAAAUAAAAAAGGAGACAAUGCUGGAUGAUACAGGGGCAGCCAACAAGAGGAGAAAACCCAAGCAUUGGCAAAUGCCUCAUUAUCCAAAGAACACUCCUUAUACUCCUGAGAAUUUGUGGCAGUCCUGGGUUAAACGAUGAAGGCUUCUUAUUCUCAUGUAGGUCUCACAGCCUCUUGUCUCCCUGAGUUUUAAACACAUUGCAUUACCUUUCCAGAGGAGGUGUGGAGCAAAACUGUGUUGAAUGAACUGUAGAUGGAAAUUCUCUCCUUCCCACCGAGGAGCCGCUGCAGGUUGCAGACUCCCAGAAUGCCACACUGAGAAGAGGAGGGCUAAAAUUCUAGAGCAGAAUCCCUGGGGCAGCCCCUGCUGAAGAAGGGUGCAUCUGUUGAGAAUCUCAUCACCGCCCCCACCCCGCCCAGCCUUCAAUUUAGAGGAAUUUCUAGUUCACGCAGAAUGAAGACAAGAUCACAUAAGGGCCUCAGAGUAUGUCAGCUGGGGUCAGACGGGAACAGGAGUCUGGCUCAACACACAUUUAUUGCACUCCUGUUUCAUGCCAAGAAAUGUACCAAAAUCUGGGACUGUGUAACACAGCAAAGGAAAAGACUCAUCUCCAGGAAGCCCCCUUGUCUAGGAAGAGAAAUUGAAUAUCAGCAUAAGGUGGUGAAAAGCUGUGAAGGAGAUGAGUGCCAGGAGUCCAUGGAGGAAGGAUUCUAGCCUGGACAGGUGAGGAAUGGCUUUCUGGAAGAAGCAGAUGCCCCAGCUGAACUUUAAAAUGCCCAUGUGAAAUGAACUGUCUGUAUCUUCAAUCAGCAAAUGGAGUAGGUGGCCACUGUUUAAUUCUGGAAUGGGGAAGUGUAAAGGUGUGGUGUGUGUGUUUACCCCUACUUAGGGAUUCAAAACAGACAGUAAAGAACAAAAGUCUAGCCCUUUGAGCAUUCUCCAUGGGACAUUUGAGGUCUAGCUGGCCCCAGAGAAAGAGAGACAGAAGCAAGGUCAUAUCCAUUUGAGAAAAUCAAAGUGUCUGCUCCAAUUGAGUCUGGUGUCCUUAUUCCUGGAAUAGCCAUCCCUACUGCUCUGGUGCUGAUUUACCUCCGGCAGUUCAGUGCUUCCUGGAAGGUGAUUGUGGUGAAUAGUCAUGAGAAUCUGGGAACUGGCUCCUGCUCUGUCUAUCUUGGAGAUGCAUCUUUUGUGAGAAGCCAGGGCAAGAAUAGGGAGGCUUAGGCAAUGGGAAGUUUCUGAGUAGAUAAAGCAGAUGGCAGAGCAAAGGGACAGAGCCUGGCGAGAGGCUACUCCCUGUAGCAACCUGCCUAAGAGUGAGAGGAAAGCAAGGCAUGGCUAUGAGCACGUGUAGUCUCAGCUACUUGGGAAGCUGAGGCUGGGGGAUCACUUGAGCCCAGGAGUUCAAGACCAGCCUAGGCAACAUAGUGAGACCAUGUCUCUUUAAAAAAAAAAAAAAAAAGAAAAA